UAGAACACUCCUGGACGAAUGAGGGACUACACCGUACUACAAAAAAGUCAAGCCGGGUUGUGGAGGUAGCAGUGGAGGAGAGAGACAGGGAGGAACAAGAAGCUGUAGACUAGAAUAUGGCUAUUGUGUACUCCACAGCCACCUCUGAUCACCAGGGAGUCAGUCAAGAGCGAGCGUUUACUACCAUCAACAUGGAAACCACCAACAUGGCUGCUGCCACUGACCCUGCCAUAGCUAUGACCACCGUGGGGUUAUUAGCAGCCCCUUGUGGAGCACCUUGGUCUGAAGCCUUGAUCAGACUGACAUCAGCAU